rnacentral:misc_RNA from 1 species
GUGCCAAUCCAGAGGAUGUUUCUUAGAACCCUUGUUAGGCAGCCCACAACAAAUGAAGGGUAUACUGCAUAUCAAGGGCUGGCCACAGAAGCACCCCAUGCACAGUGGGCUAUGUCCUUUACGUCAAGGAGCAUUUUGAGAUCCUUAGUAGCUGCAAUGGAGGAGUUGGAGCUUAAUGUGCACAAUGCUACUGUCAAAUCUGAGCAUGCUCAUAUGUACCUCUGUAUCCUACAGGAACAACAAAUAGAUGACCUUGUGCCAUACCCAAAGAGAGUUGAUAUUGAUGCUGGCCAGGAAG